GUGCGCGCCCGCAGCCGGCAGAAACCCCCCUCGCGGGGCUGGUGCCUCUUCCCCAGCCCUCGCAGGGCUUUGCCGGUUGGAAAAGUGGAAGGACACCAAGUUUGUGAAUCACCCUCACCAGUGCGCGAACCGAUGGAAUGCAGAACUAGGAGGGAAAGCCUACUUUACCUCACUGGAAUUGCCACACAUCAUGUCAGGCCCAUGUAGUUUCCUGUUUCCAAAAUUAGACUUCAUUACAGUUAGCAUCUUCAGAUGAGAUAGAAGCAACCUCCUGUUAGGACAGCUGUGAGAUAAUUGCACUUCACGCUGGAGCUCCUCCUAAUUCCUAAUGGUUUUCAGUUGGCUCUACCCUUCAGGCAGUGAUACAGUUUUUUGCCUCUAGUCAUUAUAAAGCUAAUAAAUUUUCCAGAAACACUAAGUUAUUUUUUUUCAAUCUUGCUGAUCUUUUGAUCUGAAGAUGUCACCGACUUCCUGUGAAACUGAGUUCAAUUAUUUGUGGUUACCGGCUCUUCUUUGUCUGGAAUUGUGAUUAACAAGAACACAGUCCUUAUCAUUUCACAUGUAAAGCCAACGCAUCUGAAAAAAAAAAAAAAAAAGUACUGGAUCUGGUUAUCUGAUUGUGUGAGUAAUGGCACCUACGUUUACCAUGCUCAUACUGCAAUGCUUGCACUAGCAGUUCUCUCACUCUGUCUUCUGCCCAUAGCCUCCACCAGGAAGCAUCUACCUCAGAAGGAGAUUAAAAUCAUUAAGAUUGGAAAAGACCUCCGAGAUCAUCUGGUCUAUCUGGCAUCCCCUUGGCACCAGUAUCACCCACUAAACCAUGUCACAGGUUAUCUUAACACUUACUUUUAAAGAAUGCAAUCUUUAAAAAACAUGCAUGUUCUAUGGUUUUGCCUGAAGAGGUAUAUAACAUACAGCAGAACAAUAAAGGUUAGAAGUUGUAAACCUAAACCUACGGUUAGAUAACUGUAUCUAACUUGAACAUAUCCUGAUGUGAGCAGCUGGAGGAAAAGAGUUGGCUUUGCAGCUGUCUGAGCUAUGGAGGCAUAUGCUCUGUACUCAGUGUCCUCCAAUUCCUCUUCUGAAGUAAAAGCCUUGUAGUUCAUUUCCUGCCUGAGUGUAACUUUUUGCCCAUUUUAUCUGUGAGCUCUCAAACUUUCAAGAAACAGAAUAAUUCUUUGGAUGUUUGGAUAAGCAAAGAAAAGACAAAUAGUUUUUUAUUUGCUACAAACAAAGUCUUCAAGGAGCAAUUAAAACCUUGCUGCUCAUUCUACCAAGGACAGCUUUUGGAAGAAGGGGGCCACAGCUACUGCCAGUAUGUGAUGAAGCAGAUGGGUGAAAAUAUAACUAAGGAGAAAAGAAGUGGUCACUGCACCGAGCCUGUCUGAAUUUAAGAAGAGAUUGGACUGUGCACUUAGUCACAUGGUCUGAACUUUUGGGUAGACCUGUGCGGUGUCAAGAGUUGGACUUGAUGAUCCUUAAGGGUCCCUUCCAACUCAGGAUAUUCUAUGAUUCUAUGAUUCUAUAAGAAAGGAGGUGAGUAGUAUUAUCAAUGACAAAAAGCUAUGCUUUGAAGCCUAGGCACAUUUAGUUACUGUGACAAAGUUGGUAUGAGUAAAAAAGUAGCCCUGGAAAUUGUUUCCUUCUUGCUUUCACUAUUCACCAGAAUUUGGUAAUACCGUGCAAUUAAUCAUUUUAUUCCCGGUACCAAGUUUCUAUCACCAAGAAUGCUCGUAGGCAAGGAAUGCGUUUGGUUGUGCAGGUGUUGCAGUUAUGACCUCAUCUAACAACAUACAUUGGAAGUUUGUUUGCCAGAAGUACCUCUUACUUUUUCAAUCAGUUGAAACUCCAGCUGAACUGCAGGGUUUCGGUGAUGGUUUCCAUCAUGGCAUCCACCAAGGCAUAGGAUCUGAUCUUUAUAUUUCUUCCCGAUGUGAGGAAACAAAGAUGCAAAUUUAUCUUUAAUUUUAAAUAAUAUUUGAACACGCGAAAGCUUAUUUUCUCACAAUGCUUUCAUACUUGAGCUGUGAGAAGGGGAAAGGGCUAGUUCCACCAGCAAAGAUUCCUGUAAAUUAAUGUAAUAUUUUUGCAGUAAGUUGAAGUUUUAGGCUCACAAACAAGCUGAUAUGGUAUGGUCAGUCAGUAGAAUCAUGAUUUUCUUGAAGAGGAUGAGAUAUAAAGCAUGUAGUACAAACUGAUAACAACUGUUAACCCCCAUUUGGUCUUUGAAGAUGACACAAACUGCAUCAAGCAGCAGUAUUAUUUCCAGUUCUGAGGGUAUAUUUAGAAUGAGCUAGAGUCCAAACAGGCUACAGAAUCUACUACGUAACCUUUGCUGGCUCUCAUGUUCUGUGCUAUUUUCUGAUGCUCUGUGCUUUGCAGGACAGAAGAGACAUUAAAGCACUGCAGCCUAAGGAUUUCUUCUUAAGGAUGCAAAUUAGAUCUCUUUACAACCAGUCUGUUCAAUAACGAAGAUCUUUUAGGAAAGAAGUUUAUGUAGGAUAUGUGCAGCUCCAGAACAACCUCUGCAAAGCCAAUUACCAGGUCUCAGUCACUCAGCUUUUCCUUCUGUAAAUGCUCUCUAUAUGUUGGUAUCACUUGUUCCCUGCCAGUAGCAGCGAUUGUUGCCGUAUGUCUGCAUGACUUAAAGCACUAGCUUGGGUUAUAAGGCACCGUGGCAGCUGGGAUCUGACUUCUGCUACUAUAAAGAUUUCUCUUACUGUCAUGUGGAAGCCCAACUACUUUUAUGCAUAUAUCAGCAGAAUAAAAGAAGGCUGUCAGUCAGAUUCGUGGUAAUGAUAAAAGGAAUAUUUGUUCAAAGCAGCUGGCUGGUUGCUUACAGACAUCUCAGGGGGAGGGUUCCUGUUGUCAGCUGACUGAAGCUGGCUUCUGCUGUCACAAGGAUGAUCGCACUGCUUCAACAGUCCUUCAGGAGUACCAAGCAAGUAUGGUAUGUCUGUGCUUUCACACAGUCUGUCUUCACCAAGCUACGGAGUGGGUGAGAAGCAAGUUUUGAGCCCUUGUAAUGAACCUUCCCACAAAACAGCCACGGAUGUAAGCAGCAGAAGGACGAGAUAAGCCUAGUGGACUGAGAGCUUCCAGCCUGGAGAGGUGCUCAAGGGAGGUGCCCAGCUCUUUGGCCUGUUUCUCUAUUUUGCACAAGGCAGUCUCUGGGUAAAACACGUAAUGACUCUUGGGAAUCAUGUUUAUGCCUCUUCAUGAAGCUGGCCUGCAAUACAAUAGAGAUCUGUGUAUUCUGGACAACAGACCAGAAAGAUAAACACAUCUAUAGAUAAAACUAGAGGGAAAUGCUAGCUUACAGUGAUCCUACAGCUUUUUUGCUUUUUUUUUUUUUAAUGGAAAAUUAAAUAUUUGUAAAAAGAAUUAAGAGUGAGUGAAUUAAUUUUGGUAAAUAGAAAGCAAAUUUCACUUAAUACAUAAACACUGAAGGACUAUUUAAUGGUAUUGUAGUGUAUCUGAGCUAAACAUCUGGUUUUCAGCUGGGCGUUAAGAAUUACAGUAUGUUCACAGGACACCAGAGUAAGCAUUCCAUAAAUAUUUACUACAAACACAUUGUUAAUAUUUGAUUAAUGUGAAUGGGCAACAGCAAAUGUUGUUCUUAUUUCUGUUUAAUGUUGUGAUUGUUGUUCAUUUAAGUUAUUUUGUUUUCCCAAGGAAAAGGACACAGAAAGAAAGUUUAAGUAGCUUAAAGCGAUGAAGUUGUCUUUGCAGCUAGAAGAUUUUUUUUUCUCCGUAAAAUGCUAACAAGUGAACGCUCUCAUGAGAUGAGUGGAUGAGAGUACUACAGCUUUCAGAGCAGAAAUAAAUUGCUGGGAGGAGUUGCCCUAAAACUAGGGGUACUUGACCAGCCAGCAUCUUCAGCAACAUAUGAGACAGUGUGAAGGAGCUAUUUUGAAAAAUGGCAAGAUUCGUAAUGAUCAGGCAUGACAGGUGCUCUACUCAAGACAUGUUGACACAAGGCUGCUGGGGAAUGGUGAAUUAAACUGGACGUCCAUGUUUUAGGAGUCUUCUGAAAUGCUGUGCCUCUCAGACCCACAGAAGCAUGAUCGCAGUAGAAACAGGAGGUGGAGGGCUUGCAUGUGAAGGCUUGUUUCACAGACUUCACAACCUUUUUGGAGGAAAUAUGUGACAAUCCAGAUGUGUGUAACAAAUUGCUUUGGAGAGAAUUGUGAGAACGACACAUUCACUUUUUUCAUGUUUGUCGCUGACUUAAUACGAUUAAUGAAAUGUCAUUUUCAUAUUGGCUCACGUUAUCUUUCUGACACAGGUACUUAAACAUAAUUCUGAUUAUUCUUUUUAAUAUACCCAAGUCGUUAUUUGCAUAGACUAGAUAAGAGCAAAGACCAUCUGUGCCUGUGUUUGUAUGUAACAGCAUGCAUGUGUGCACACACUCACAGGGGGAAGUGUUUGGGAAAUGAUCAGCACAUAGCAACAGAAAACAAUAUUUGUCAUUUCUGUUUAUGAGGUGAGCCCCUUUAAAAUUGUAAUGAAGUGACUGAGAUAAGCACGAAACUGCUGAUGUUGGAAGUGAUUUCACUGCUGACCCUGCUGCUCAGGCAGGGUCAGACUGCACAGGACAAGCCUAAGACUCACCACUACAUACAUGUAUAUGUUGUAUUGUAAAACAAAUAACAACAACAACAAAAGAAACUAUGGUAGUGGCUUAGAAUCAUAAAAUCAAAGUCAGCAUGUUUUGUCUUACUGUACUCUGCACUUACCAUUCACAGUUAUAUUUUCAACUGGUUCUCUAAAACCAUGACAGUGAUGAAUUAAGGGGAAAAAAAAAACACACAAAGGAUUCUCCCUUAAUCACAUGGCUUUAAGAGCUGAAUUUUAUGACAAAACCAUAUAUAGAGAGAUUUUUGAAUUACUGCAAACAAUGUGUCAUUUCCACUCCAGACUCCACACAAAGUUGUGAGGGCUGGAAUUAACAGCCCACCGUUGAGAGGAGCAGUGGUUAUAAAUGAACCACUUGGGCUGCAGACAGAAUGAAUUGCAUAACCAAGAAUUUCUUCAGGCUUUGCUCAGCUCAGAGAUGAAAGCUAGCAGCUGUGUUCGGACGAGGCCGCAGCUGAUCUCAGCUACCAUCAUGACUUUUUUAAGGUAGCGGGUCACCCAUCUGUCCUUCAUAUGAUUUGAUUGCUUCAAAACAAGGUGUAGGGUGAGAAAUGUUGAUAAAUUACUUCAAAAUGGUAAAAUGUUGACAAUUUUUUUUUGCUUCCCUAUUCUGGAAUCUUCACAUUCUUGCUUAUGCCCUCUGCAUUUUCAGCACAUAACUUUCAGUGAUUCAUAGCCAUCUCCUGUUUGUCAGCUUUGUCAUUUUUUCCCUUUGUUUACAUGCACCACACCCUGCAGUUUUUGAAAACAUCUGUUUUAACUCAUUUAAGGACUCCAUCAAGAUCUUUCAUACAUGGAACUUUUCCCUUUUCAUGUGAGUAAUGUGGCAGGCGUGGUGUAUCUAGGUUUUCUAAAAGUUCAGUCCUGGGGUUGGGGUCUUAAAACAAAAUGAACAGGUACAACCCCAAGAUUGUCAGGUUGACUUUUUUUUUUUUUUUUUUUCCAAAGAUCCUGUUAGGUCUGUUUUUUAUGGCAAAGGCCAGGGGCUAUAAUUCACUUAGAGGCUCACUCUAACUUUUCUACAGGCUUACUUCAUCAUCUCCGAAAAGGCUUUUUAUGCCUUAUUAAAAUAAGCUUGAUCAGACUUGACAAGAUUUCCUAGAGGAGGAUUUUCAGUAAUAACUUUUAUUUAUUGUUGGUUAUUUCCUAGUCAUAUUUAUUUGCAGAUACGGGACAUCUUGGGCUCUUCUAGCAGUUUUCUCUUAUAAGGUCUGAAUUUCUAUGUGUUUUCUUCUGACUUAUGUUCAGAGGAAGGAAAAUCAGAAGUUAUAAUCAAUACACACUAGCUAACAAAAAUAACCUUCACUUUUAACAGGCAAAUUUCACAAUACAAUUUGCAAUCUGCCAAGUGAAAUUGGAAGAUAACUUUACAAUAUUUCUGAAGUUUCCAAGAUAUUUAAAAUCACAAGAGUAGGAUAGCAGAAAAAAAAUAGACUUCAACUACUUGGACUUCCUGGCUGUAAGGAAGAAAACACACCUAUGUGUUGACUUAUAUCCUCAAUCAGAUACAUUUCCGUUAUUUAUUACCAGGAAACUGGAAAAUAUGUACUAAUUCCUGGAGUGUGUCCUUCACUUUUCCUGUUAAGGAUAAUUAGUCCGAUAGGGCUAAAUACAAAGGAAAGGUCUUGAAGCCUCACAGAAAGGAAGCUGAGCAGAGCUCCUUCUCCCCAUUCCCAUACGUCUCCCAUCAUGUUUCUUGUGGGUACUGCUCCUGCCUCCUUCUUUUUUCAACACUAUUUGAUUCUUCCAAAGUUUUGUCGUGUUUCCAUAUGAUUGGAAGAAAUGAUCAAACUGUAAUCCAGAGCACAAGAGAAAAAAGACUAGUGACUUGCUCAUAUUCUGGAUGCUCAUCAGGCAACUUGCAAUUGGAUGUAAUGGGUGCCUGGACCUGUCAUGCCCUACAAACUCUAACAGAUGUUGGUUAUAAAGCAUUAACAUCAUGACUGCAAACUGCACCUGUUGAGGAGCUGACUCACAAGUAUCUCAAACCUGUGCUAUAGCAGAGAGUAAAGAGAUGGAAAAGAUAGCGGAGAAGGAAAGGGCCUCCAGCCACGUUGCAGAGGCUGGUGUUUGUGGAGCUGUACGGUGUGGCCAAGGUGGAUGUGGAGCUGUGUAUGGUCAUUUGAAAGUUAUUACACUCCACAGCCCUGAAGGGAAAAUCAUAGCAAGGGAACAGCUGUUAGGUCUUUAUACAAAUCAGUCUAGCAGUCUGUUAGGCUGGAAGUGUAUUGGAUCUGCCAUGUGGCUGGAGAUCUAGGCAUGUGGAGUACAACAAAAAUGAAGAAGUGGGGUUUCAGAGAAAUAUAACAACUUUGCCACUGGGGAGAGAAACCUUCAGGGGAUGAUCAAAUGUCAGAAACAAGAAAAUGGCGAUCAUUUUACAUUAAUACUAUCUUUCCAAAGGAAAGAACACUUAAAAUAGUGACAGGAAACUUUUGCAAGUGAGUUGCAUUCCCUCCAGCUUGUUGGACCGCAACAGCAAAAACACAGCUCAGCAGUACAUGUUGCAGUUAUGCCAGCAGAAAGAUAUUCAGAAGGGAUCAUCUGUAAAAAUAAAAAAGGAAAAAGAACAGGAGUGAUCAGCCAUCAUGUGAUGAUGAGCAAAGAUUAUUCAUGACCUUAGAAACAGGACUUUCCGAGCCAAUGCGGUAUGCAAAGCACUGGGAAUACUAUUUCUCCCUGUUUUUACCUGUUAUUGCUGCCAAAGAAAUAAAGUGUAAGUUCAUCCUCAUCUUGCAACAUUUUGAAUUAACUGAUAAGCAAAAGGAAAAAAGAAAAAAAAAAAAAAAAAAAAAAGCUGAGCAUCAGGAAGAUGUUACUCAUGGGGAAUUUAGUUUUAGUUCCGUCCUGAUAGACUGCCAUCUAGGGGUAACGCAGUGAAACCUCAUUAAAGGUUGAAAGCUUUGUCAUGUUAAAAAUCAAAAUGGAAAAAUACUUCACCUGUACCAUCUUCUAUGAUCUUGCUAGAGAGAAUGAGCAUAUUUUUGGAGUGUAUAGGGUGGCA